AGAGUGCACUUUCGUUUGACGUGCACCUGAUUUCCUCCUUGGUAGCUGGUCACACCGAUUCUUCCAGACUAGCGGCUACCUCUCUGAGGGGUUUGUCGUUGGUGGUUUGAGGUUGAGAGGGAAGAGAUCAGUGAAAAAAAUCUUUCUGUGUGAGUGGAAGGUUUUCAGCGAUGAGAAAGGGAAGACUUAAAAAGUCGAAGGGAAAAGCAGCCCUCCCUGGUCCCCACGCCUCCUGUUGCCCCUACUCCACACGCGUGACCUCCUUCGGAGACCCCAGGUGGCACAUCAGUAUUUGAUCUGCUCGCUCCCCUCCAGCGCGCUGCCGGCGUUGGGCCACACACCACCCAGCUGCUGAAGCCAGCACUCAGCGCCACAAGCAGCUUCGGAAGGACCAUCUCCGUGCUCGCCCCCUCCUUGGGCUGCUUGUGUUUCGGGGACCCCGGGGCGAGGCGAGGUGAGGUGCCCACCAUGCUGGACUGCCUGCGCCUGGCGCUGCUCUGCGCGCUGCCCUGGCUCCUGCGGGCGGCGGUCCCUGGCCACCAGGAAGAGCCCCUCGCGAAAUCCGCAGAGCUGCGGCGCGAUCCGCGAGACCCCGCCAGGGGAGCGGAUUUCGAUCGCGUCUACAGCGGGGUGGUGAGCCUCAGCACCGAGAACAUCUACUCCUUCAACCACACCAGCCAUCCUGGCCAGGUAAGACGCUCUCUCCCUCGGCUGACCACCCCCCCCCCCCAACUUCCGAGAUCGCGGAGCCCCCUAGAUACCUCAGGCUGCGCUGGGAAUUGACCUCGGGAGACCUCAGGGACUAGGAAACCCUUUCCCUGCCUCUCUCCUGUAAGGCAAUCGCUGCCUUGUCCCAGCCUUGGCAGCUGCUUUGGGCACCGCUCCGCUUCACCUCGUGCCCACCCCGGCCUGGUCGCUGCCAUUCCUGGGCUUUGCAGAGGCGCGGGGACCCGCAUCCUCUGCGGAUCCUGGCUCAGGCUGGGCCUUUCUCCGGGAAGUCGGGAUGGCUACGUUCGUGGGAGGAAGGAGGUGGGCGGGGGAGGACAAACCUGUUCCUAAUCUCCUUAUGGACCCUACUAUUUCAUGGCACUCCAGGAAGCAGAGGUGCUCAGAAAUGGAAAGCACGUGAGAGUGAGCAGGGUUCUGCUAUGGACCACACUGUGUGCUUGUUUUUCAAAAAGCCGAGUCAAAGAUGUUAUAACUGAGAUGCUCAGGUGAUCUGCCCAGGCUCUGAUUAUAAAUAAGGGUGGAAAUGUGUGUGAAAGUUCUGUAGACAAGAGUUGUGGCGAGACAAGCAGGGAUAAUUAUUUUAGCAACCAAGCCUCUGACUUAACUGAUUAUAUAAUGUAAGACAGUACAUAUCACUCACAUUUUCCUUCAAAUAAGAUAGCCUUUAAGAGGGGUGGCUCUCCAGUGUACCUGCUUCUGUCUCUACUUCCCACAUAAACGUGUUUAUGCAUCCCCCACUACCGUGCACCUUGAGGCGUUUCAGAACCAGGUGGUUAGAAUUCCUCUAUACCUUCCCAUCCCUGACUCUCUCAUUCGGGGUCACAGCUGAAAAACUUCCUUCGUUAAGCAUGUCAUUACUCUUUAGUGCCUUUCUGCUGUGUGAACUGAGAAAGUGCCCCAAGUUCUCCAUCUCCCAGCUUGCAUCAAAUCCUAUGGCAUUGUCUCCAUGGCAACACAGUCCUCGCCCGGGCCAGACCUCCUGGAACCUGAGGUAGUGCCCUGGAGCAGCGGAGUUGCUGGAUGCAAAGCCUUUCUAUCGCAUACAGAAGAAAGAGGGCAGUUUUUAUUUUCAUGUCCUACACAAGGGACUCCUGACUGCCCUGUUUGGAAUGCCCACUAGCUGGCCGAUAUCUUGCAUGUAAGAUAGAUUCCUACCCCCGUGGUUUCCUGGAACUAGAUGAGAGUCUUGAAACGCCAGCUUCGUCCAAAAUCAAAUAGCAUGUGCGAAGAAAAUCAUCACAGGCUUUGGUGCUUCUUACAGUUCUGCUGCGAGACAAAUGCGACGCUUUACUUAGUUUUCUUUCUUUCUCUCUUCUUUCCUUUAAGGUUUGUUUUGUUUUUAUCAGUAUGUAUGAAUGCCUGCAUGUAUGUAUGUGUACCACAUGCUUGUGUGAUGCCCACAGAGGCCAGAAGAGGGCGCUAGAAUUCCCAAGAAUUGGAGUUAUCUGCAAUUGUGAGCUGCUACGUGUGUGGUGGGAACUGAGUGGAGAUCCUCUGAAAGAGUCCCGUGCGCUCUUUCACGUGGCUGACCCCUCCCCAAGCCUACUUGCUGAGAUAGUUUUAUUAUUUAGACCAAGCUGGCCUCAAAUGCAUCAUCCUAUUCCUCAGUGCUGAGAUUACAGGCACGUUCAAUCCCUUCAGGAAGACUAAAGGCUGGUUUGUUUGUUUUGGUUUUGUUUGUUUGUUAUUGUUGGUUGGUUGGUUGGUUGGUUGGUUUGGUUUGGUUUGGCUUUGCUUCUGCCUUUUUCCCCUUAGAACUGUGAAAAUCCCUCUACUGAACACAGAGGAGCUCUCCUGCUUAACUUUCCUUUGGACACUUGAGAUAUUGAGGGCUAUAGCUAUAUACAUGUCCUCUGCAAACUGAAUGAGAAG
rnacentral:lncRNA from 1 species